rnacentral:tRNA from 1 species
GUCCGAGUGGUGGAAUUGGUAGACACGCAAGAUUCAGAAUCUUGUAUCUGUAACGGAUGUGCAGGUUCAACUCCUGUCUCGGGCA